rnacentral:rRNA from 1 species
UACAGAGGGGGCAAGCGUUGUUCGGAAUUACUGGGCGUAAAGGGCGCGUAGGCGGCCUGCUAAGUCGAACGUGAAAUCCCCGGGCUCAACCCGGGAACUGCGUCCGAUACUGACAGGCUCGAAUCCGGGAGAGGGAUGUGGAAUUCCAGGUGUAGCGGUGAAAUGCGUAGAUAUCUGAAGGAACAUCAGUGGCGAAAGCGACUUCCUGGACCAAUACUGACGCUCAUGUGCGAAAGCGUGGGGAGCAAACAGG